GGAAGUUCGGGCAAAUCCCUAAGUACGAUCCGGAAGUCCACCACCUGUUUUUGACACCCAACUUAGUACACCAAUUUCACAUAAUCAGGCUCAUAAGCGACGCCGCACCUACGCACAAACUCAAACCCCGCCGCGGGUUACAUCUCUCCCUACACCCACCAAACUGCAGCGACGCUGCUUAAUAAUUUCAUAACUUUAAAAUUAUGACAGCAGUGGUAACAAACAAAAACUCCAGAGGCAUCUACAUAAAAUUCCCCACAAGUUUUGUAUACAAUUUAUAAUUAAAUUCCAAUAUCUAAUUAGCCCAAAACAGUCCACAAGAUGAACCCUGUAAUCUGUUUUUCUUUGUCUUUUGGACAGCGACAUACCCAGAUUCAAACAGCGAUAUCUUUUAAAAUAUAAUUCCAAAUCAAUCGCAUAAGUACUCAUUGGAAAGAUAAGACAAAUCCCUACAUGAUUAUCAUACUGGUUAACACUAAUUACCCACGAAAAAUUCCCAGAAACUGCUAAUACCACUGCUGUUCACCCACCUGAAAAAUCUGUUUUAUUGGACAGCAACAUAACCGGAUUCAAACAACGAUAUCUCCUGAAUUAUAACUCCGAAUCGAGCGCAUAAGUACUUGUUGGAAAGAUAACAUAAAGCCCUACAUGAUUCUAAUACUGAUUAACACUAAUUACUCCCGAAAAGUUCCCAGAAACUGCUAAUACUGCUGCUGUUCAUCCCCCUGAAAAUCUGUUUUUUUGGACAGCCACAUACCCGGAUUCAAACGGUGAUAACUUUCAAUUUAUAACUCCGAAUGGAGCGCAUAAAUACUCGUUGGAAAGGUAAGGUAAAGUUCUACAUGAUCCCCAAACUGAUUUCCCUUAAUUCCUCACGAAAAAACACAGAAACUGCUAGACUACUGCUGUUCACCCACCACCUAAAAUUCUGGACAACCACAUACCCGGAUUCAAACGGUGAUAACUUUCAAUUUAUAACUCCAAAUUGAGCGCAUAAAUACUCGUUGGAAAGGUAAGGUAAAGUUCUUCAUGAUCCCCAAACUGAUUUCCCUUAAUUCCUCACGAAAAAACACAGAAACUGCUAGACUACUGCUGUUCACCCACCACCUAAAAUUCUGGACAACCCCCUCUACCCAAUCGCAAACGCAACCUCUAAUCAAUUAAAUUGCAGCGCAAAUGAACAAGGAAUGAACACAAAAAUCACCUUGGAUUCUCCCCCUUUCCUUCCUCCCUUCUUCCCUCCACCAAAACGAUUGAAGACUCGCACCACGACGACGAUGAUCCGAGCGGCAAGGAUUGGCACCUUGGGAGGAGGGGAUUGGGGGGGGCGGCUAGGGUUUGGUGGCUGCAAAAAUUGAGAGAGGAAGAGAUGGGCAGGGGGGCGG
rnacentral:lncRNA from 1 species